UACAGAGGUCUCAAGCGUUGUUCGGAUUCAUUGGGCGUAAAGGGUGUGUAGGUGGCGCGGUAAGUCGGGUGUGAAAUCUCGGAGCUUAACUCCGAAACUGCAUUCGAUACUGCCGUGCUUGAGGACUGGAGAGGAGACUGGAAUUUACGGUGUAGCGGUGAAAUGCGUAGAUAUCGUAAGGAAGACCAGUGGCGAAGGCGGGUCUCGUGGACAGUUCCUGACGCUGAGGCACGAAGGUCAGGGGAGCAAACGGG
rnacentral:rRNA from 1 species